rnacentral:rRNA from 1 species
GUAGGUGGCAAAAUAAGCGAAUAGUGAAAUCUUGUGGCUCAACCACAAACACAUUAUUCGAACUGUUUCGCUCGAGAAUGAGAGAGGUCACUGGAAUUCCUUGUGUAGGAGUGAAAUCCGUAGAUAUAAGGAGGAACACCAAUGGCGUAGGCAGGUGACUGGCUCAUUUCUGACACUGAGGCACGAAAGCGUGGGGAGCGAACGGGAUUAGAUACCCCGGUAGUCCACGCCGUAAACGAUGGAUGCUAGCUGUUAGGAGUAUCGACCCUUCUAGUAGCGAAGCUAACGCGUUAAGCAUCCCGCCUGGGGAGUACGGUCGCAAGAUUAAAACUCAAAGGAAUUGACGGGGACCCGCACAAGUGGUGGAGCGUGUUCUUUAAUUCGAUGAUAAGCGAAGAACCUUACCAGGGUUUGACAUCCUUGGAAUCUCUGUGAAAGCAGAGAGUACUUUAUUGGACCAAGUGACAGGUGUUGCAUGGCCGUCGUCAGCUCGUGUCGUGAGAUGUUAGGUUAAGUCCUUCAACGAGCGCAACCCUUAUGUUUAGUUGGAUUUUUCUAAACAGACUGCCCCGGUAACGGGGAGGAAGGAGGGGAUGGUGUCAGGUCAUUAUUACCCUUACACCCUGGGCUAGAAACGCGCUACAAUGGCCGGUACAAAGGGCAGCCAACCCGCGAGGGGGAGCAAAUCCCAUCAAAACCGGUCCCAGUUCGGAUUGCAGGCUGAAACUCGCCUGCAUGAAGCCGGAAUCACUAGUAAUCGUAGGUCAGCACACUACGGUGAAUACGUUCCCGGGUCUUGUACACACCGCCCGUCAAGGCAUGGAAGUCACCAACACCCGAAGUCCUAAUUUUUUAGGCCUAAGGUGGGGGGGAUAACUGGGCUU